rnacentral:lncRNA from 1 species
GAGGGAUUGUGCUUGAUUUUGAUAUGAUGAAGACAUAAUCUUUCAAUCAGUUUAAUUAAGGUCUGGAGCUGGCAUGUCAGUAACUGCUAGUAGUCCUUUGUUAAUUUAUGUAUCAUUGUCAUUUUGCUUAGUUUCUUCUGUUACCUAUUCUGACAUCGGACUCGGUCUUCUUUGAAACUGAGUUUUAAUCUGCGUAUUGCUGUGUGUUUGUUUAUUCUACAUUGGCUAGAGGUAUAGGGGAAGGGUUUGGUUGAGAUCUCACAAAAUAUGUUUAACCCCGCCUCUGGUCUUUCUUAGUCUUGUAUGUUUUUUUUUUUAAUUUUAGUUCAUUUAUAUGUUUCGGAGUUUAGUGUGACGUCCAUUUUCAUGAACUAGCAACUUUUUGUUUAGGGGCCAACUGAAGCCCGCCUCCGGGUGCAGGAAUUUCUCGCCGCUGUGUUGAAGACUCAUUGGUGGCCUUGGCCCGUUUUCUGCUCUUUAGUCGGGUUGUUGUCUCUUUGACACAUUCCCAUUUCCAUUUUGAAUUUUAUCAUUAUGUAAAAAAAAAAAAAAAAAAAAAACACAAAAAAACAGCACGAAAGAAAGGAGUUUCACAACUUAAUAGCUUAUAGAGUAUAGUAUAUCAUAAAAUGAUUUCAAACAAGAGGACAAUUCAAUUAAAACUGUCUUGCAUUUUGCACGACAGAUCGCAUAUCUCUCCUUUCACAAUGGAUAAUAAUUGCAACUACCCUAUCAAUGCACUUACAAAUGUAACAUAAUAAGAAAGUUAAUGAUUUGACAUUUUUAAGUUUUAUGGUGAUUUAUAUAUUUUUGCCC